rnacentral:rRNA from 1 species
AGCAGCCGCGGUAAUUCCAGCUCCAAUAGCGUAUAUUAAAGUUGUUGCAGUUAAAAAGCUCGUAGUUGAAUUUCGGGAUCAGUAUGUCGGUCGUGCCUUCGGUACGUACUGGUGUUACUGGUUUCUACCUUCUGAAGAACCGUCAUGUCAUUAAUUUGGUGUGGCGGGGAAUCAGGACUGUUACUUUGAAAAAAUUAGAGUGUUUAAAGCAGGCUCGCGCUUGAAUACAUUAGCAUGGAAUAAUGAAAUAGGACGUUCGAUCCUAUUUUGUUGGUUUCUAGGAUUGACGUAAUGAUUAAUAGGGAUAGUUGGGGGCAUUAGUAUUCAAUUGUCAGAGGUGAAAUUCUUGGAUUUAUUGAAGACUAACUACUGCGAAAGCAUUUGCCAAGGAUGUUUUCAUUAAUCAAGAACGAAAGUUAGGGGAUCGAAGACGAUCAGAUACCGUCGUAGUCUUAACCAUAAACUAUGCCGACUAGGGAUCGGAUGAUGUUAAUUUUUUUAAUGUACUCAUUCGGCGUCC